rnacentral:rRNA from 1 species
CCUACGGGAGGCAGCAGUGAGGAAUAUUGGUCAAUGGGCUUACGCCUGAACCAGCCAAGUCGCGUGAGGGAAGACUGCCCUAUGGGUUGUAAACCUCUUUUGUCAGGGAGCAACGCCGGCUACGUGUAGCCGGACUGAGAGUACCUGAAGAAAAAGCAUCGGCUAACUCCGUGCCAGCAGCCGCGGUACUACGGAGGAUGCGAGCGUUAUCCGGAUUUAUGGGGUUAAAAGGGUGCGUAGGCGGAAUGCCAAGUCAGCGGUAAAAUCGCGGGGCUCAACCUCGCUCCGCCGUUGAAACUGGCGUUCUUGAGUGGGCGAGAAGUAUGCGGAAUGCGUGGUGUAGCGGUGAAAUGCAUAGAUAUCACGCAGAACUCCGAUUGCGAAGGCAGCAUACCGGCGCCCAACUGACGCUGAAGCACGAAAGCGUGGGUAUCGAACAGGAUUAGAUACCCUUGUAGUC